AGAUAAACAAUUCUCAUCCAUUCCCUUCUGAAAACCAUUGGGCCACACCAGCUCACCCGAUGUUGAGAUCCUCCACAUGCCUGGCUAUUGGAUCAGACCAUACCUAUCCUCCUGUGCUUUCCCGAGCACAGAGCCCCCUGAACCAAUCCCAUCCUCAGUUCAGAACCCGCGGCUACAUCAUCCGCAAGCUCUCUGCAUGUACCUUCGUCGAGUCAGCUGGCUGUUCCCAAGUCAGGCCCACUGGCUGUUCGAGAGUCAAGCCCACCAGCUACGCUGCUGUCAAGCCCACUGUUUGUGGCUCUCUCAAGUCCACUGGCCACCCAAUUCAAAUAUAACCAAGGGAGGAGGAGGAGGAGGAGGAGGAGGACUGUUCACAUCUCUCAUCCCUGCCCCAGAACUUACUCCAGUGUUGGCCCAAGCCCCAGAACUCUCCUGCUCCUCCAGAGCGCCCUCAAGUGCCCGCUCCUCCAGAGUGCAACCCAGGAUUCCUUAUUUUCCUCAAGAAAAUUUGGAGGGGGUCCAUAUACCCAUGGCCAAGCCAGCUAAGGCCACAGAGGAUCCACCUCCCGAGUCCCCUGAUCCACCAUGGACUCGUGAGUCCCCAGCUCAACCAUGGCAACCUGAACUGCCUGCUUUGCCAUGGCUUCUGGAGCUCCCUGGUCCUCCAUUGGGCCCUGCCCUCUGUCCCCGAUGGUAUUGUUAAGAUGCGGGACACAUCUUCCGGAAAGGAGUUAGUAAUUUUAGGGUUAUGUUUAGCUUUUGUCCUGUUUUCAUUGUGUUUUCAGUUUAUCUGUUUACCUGUUUACCUAUGACCUAGUUUUACUUUGGCUCCUAAUUGUAAUUUCGCACACCUGUGUUUGAUUUACUCAUUAGUUCUUUUAUUAUGGUGAAACGGGCCCCAGGCUAUAGAGGAUGCUGCAGGAGAGAGAAGAAAAACGUUUUAUUAUUGUUAUCAAAACUAAUGCCUUAGUUACUGGUGUUCAUUGCAGUGGCUGAAUCAAAUGCAUGUUACCUGAGGUUUUAAUACUGCUACAAACAGAAAAUGCAGUUUCUCUCACUUCUGAACAAAUGUGAUAUUACACAAAAGAGACAAAAUCAUAUGUUUGGUUUUGAAUAAACUUUAAAUCCCUACAUUAAAAAAGCGAUUAUUCUGAAUCUAUUAAUUGGGCAUCAAUGUAAGUAUAGAUACACAUCCAUUAAUUGGUCUCAGUUAAAAUUAGGUAUGGGUUUUAUCUAGUAAAACAAUAAAUAAAAAAGUAUAAUAGUGACCUUUCCACAUCAACUUUGAAGGAAAUAAAAAUAGUACUAAUAGAAACGUGAUUAAAAACUAUGAUAUAUAUAUAAAAAUUGGAUAGCGGAGGAAAGUAGUCAAAAUUAAAAAAUCAUUUACGAUUGUGAAGUUUCUCAAAAGAAGCCACACUCAGAUUCUGGAUUUUAAUAACACAAUUUUUUCAAAGGUGUCUGUUAAGCAUACCUAGACACAUUUACCUUUCAAAUGGAUAAAGAUUGUUUUUUUUUUUUUUUUUUUAGUUUGGGGGGGGGGCGGUGUUAAAGAGUUGACACUGGGUGCUGACAUUCCAUUUAGGAAGUUGUGGGUUUGAGUCUUAAUAAUAAUAAUAAUAAUAAUUCAUUACAUUUAUAUAGUGCUUUUCUAGGCACUCAAAGCGCUCACAUAGUCAGGGGGUAUCUCCUCAUCCACCACCAGUGUGCAGCAUCCACCUGGAUGAUGCGACGGCAGCCAUAGUUCGCCAGAACGCCCACCACACACCAGCUUACUGGUGGAGAGGAGACUGCGUGAUGAAGCCAAUCAGCAGAUAUGGGGAUUGUUAGGAGGCCAUGAUGGUCGGAAGCCAAUGGGCGAAUUUAGCCAGGAUGCCGAGGUCACACCUCUACUCUUUUCGAAAGACAUCCUGAGAUUUUUAAUGACCACAGAGAGUCAGGACCUCGAUUUAACGUCUCAUCCUGCAGUCUUGGGCUGGCAGGAAUUGUAGAUGGGGGAGUGAAUGUAUAGUGCUCUCAAUACCAUGACUGAGGUGCCCUUGAGGAAGACACCAGACCCCCAACUGCUCCCCAGGCGCCGCAGCAUAAAUUGCUGGCCACUGCUCCGGGAGUGUGUUCACUGCAGUUUGUGCGCACUUUUUUUUUUAGAGCAGGAAUUCUGAGUAUGGGUCACCAUACUUGGCCGUCUGUUACAUCACUUAAAAAAAAAAAAAAAAAAAUAAUUAUAUAUAUAUAUUAGGGGUGUAACGGUUCACAAAAUUCACGGUUCGGUUCGAUACGAUACACUGAUGUCACGGUUCGGUUCGGUUCGGUUCGAUACGUUUUAGAUACAGCAAAAUGUAAAAACAUCUCAACUUUUCAGAAUGCCGCAAGCGCACUGCGGGUCAUGUGACAAGAACUAACCAAUCAGCUUCAUCCUUUCCCGUAACAACGUUGAGAGCUCAGCCAAGAUGAAGGAUCAGCUGAUCAUAGUUGUAUAUGGAUUGCAAUUUUGAAAUAAAUUUAGUAGCAGAGCUACUGCAACCGA
rnacentral:lncRNA from 1 species